CCGGUAGACGAUGGGGAUGCGUUCCAUUAGAUAGUAGGCGGGGUAACGGCCCACCUAGUCUUCGAUGGAUAGGGGUUCUGAGAGGAAGGUCCCCCACAUUGGAACUGAGACACGGUCCAAACUCCUACGGGAGGCAGCAGUGAGGAAUAUUGGUCAAUGGGCGAGAGCCUGAACCAGCCAAGUAGCGUGAAGGAUGACUGCCCUAUGGGUUGUAAACUUCUUUUAUAAAGGAAUAAAGUCGGGUAUGCAUACCCGUUUGCAUGUACUUUAUGAAUAAGGAUCGGCUAACUCCGUGCCAGCAGCCGCGGUAAUACGGAGGAUCCGAGCGUUAUCCGGAUUUAUUGGGUUUAAAGGGAGCGUAGAUGGAUGUUUAAGUCAGUUGUGAAAGUUUGCGGCUCAACCGUAAAAUUGCAGUUGAUACUGGAUAUCUUGAGUGCAGUUGAGGCAGGCGGAAUUCGUGGUGUAGCGGUGAAAUGCUUAGAUAUCACGAAGAACUCCGAUUGCGAAGGCAGCCUGCUAAGCUGCAACUGACAUUGAGGCUCGAAAGUGUGGGUAUCAAACAGGAUUAGAUACCCUGGUAGUCCACACGGUAAACGAUGAAUACUCGCUGUUUGCGAUAUACGGCAAGCGGCC
rnacentral:rRNA from 1 species